ACACUAGAGUAACUCCGGUCUUCAAGGGU
rnacentral:sRNA from 1 species